GCUUUAAACGGUUUGCAUCUCCAAUACGCAUUAAUCCACAAAUGACUUAAGCGGUUAACUUUUUUAACGUGGCUGACACUCCCUCUGAACAGGGCCGUGCAGAGACCUUUGGAGGGGCAGGUGCUCAAAGUAUAAAAGGGGCACAUGGAACAAGGCUUUAAAUGGCGCUGUUCAAAAUAUCAAUACAGCAAUAUAUUCAGCAAAUGCUUUGAUGCAGUUUUGAAAAAGAAAUAAUAGAGAAGACAAUUUUAAGUUUAAAAUAAUAAUAGCUCUGGGAUUAGAAACUGAAAUGUCUUAAAUUGUCCCAACCUGAUGGCGCUCAAUUUACUAUUUCAGCAUUAAUCUAUUAUUUUAACCAUCACUACUACUCUUACACCUAAUCAAUAAGUCCACCUUAAAUAUUGAUACAAAACAUAAAAAAACUGAUACACUGG